GACGAACGCUGGCGGCGUGCCUAAUACAUGCAAGUAGAACGCUGAAGAGAGGAGCUUGCUCUUCUUGGAUGAGUUGCGAACGGGUGAGUAACGCGUAGGUAACCUGCCUUGUAGCGGGGGAUAACUAUUGGAAACGAUAGCUAAUACCGCAUAACAAUGGAUGACACAUGUCAUUUAUUUGAAAGGGGCAAUUGCUCCACUACAAGAUGGACCUGCGUUGUAUUAGCUAGUAGGUGAGGUAAUGGCUCACCUAGGCGACGAUACAUAGCCGACCUGAGAGGGUGAUCGGCCACACUGGGACUGAGACACGGCCCAGACUCCUACGGGAGGCAGCAGUAGGGAAUCUUCGGCAAUGGGGGCAACCCUGACCGAGCAACGCCGCGUGAGUGAAGAAGGUUUUCGGAUCGUAAAGCUCUGUUGUAAGUCAAGAACGGGUGUGAGAGUGGAAAGUUCACACUGUGACGGUAGCUUACCAGAAAGGGACGGCUAACUACGUGCCAGCAGCCGCGGUAAUACGUAGGUCCCGAGCGUUGUCCGGAUUUAUUGGGCGUAAAGCGAGCGCAGGCGGUUUGAUAAGUCUGAAGUUAAAGGCUGUGGCUCAACCAUAGUUCGCUUUGGAAACUGUCAAACUUGAGUGCAAAAGGGGAGAGUGGAAUUCCAUGUGUAGCGGUGAAAUGCGUAGAUAUAUGGAGGAACACCGGUGGCGAAAGCGGCUCUCUGGUCUGUAACUGACGCUGAGGCUCGAAAGCGUGGGGAGCGAACAGGAUUAGAUACCCUGGUAGUCCACGCCGUAAACGAUGAGUGCUAGGUGUUGGAUCCUUUCCGGGAUUCAGUGCCGCAGCUAACGCAUUAAGCACUCCGCCUGGGGAGUACGACCGCAAGGUUGAAACUCAAAGGAAUUGACGGGGGCCCGCACAAGCGGUGGAGCAUGUGGUUUAAUUCGAAGCAACGCGAAGAACCUUACCAGGUCUUGACAUCCCGAUGCUAUUUCUAGAGAUAGAAAGUUACUUCGGUACAUCGGUGACAGGUGGUGCAUGGUUGUCGUCAGCUCGUGUCGUGAGAUGUUGGGUUAAGUCCCGCAACGAGCGCAACCCCUAUUGUUAGUUGCCAUCAUUCAGUUGGGCACUCUAGCGAGACUGCCGGUAAUAAACCGGAGGAAGGUGGGGAUGACGUCAAAUCAUCAUGCCCCUUAUGACCUGGGCUACACACGUGCUACAAUGGUUGGUACAACGAGUUGCGAGUCGGUGACGGCGAGCUAAUCUCUUAAAGCCAAUCUCAGUUCGGAUUGUAGGCUGCAAUUCGCCUACAUGAAGUCGGAAUCGCUAGUAAUCGCGGAUCAGCACGCCGCGGUGAAUACGUUCCCGGGCCU
rnacentral:rRNA from 1 species